AUUUUCAUGGUGUUGCAUUGUUUUCGUCAGCUUGUGCAGUGUGGUGUUAGUUUAAAUAAAUGUAAUGAGUGCAAACCAUGUCAAGAGUUGCCAUCAUUCAGUUGGGGACUAUAGUGAGACAGCUUACGCAAGUAGAGAGGAAGGUGGGGAUGACGUCAAAUCAUCACGGCCAAUACGCCUUGGGCCACACACGUAAUACAAUGGCCGGUACAGAGGGCAGUUACACAGGGAUGUGACGCAAAUCUCGAAAGCCGGUUUCAGUUCGGAUUGGAGUUUGCAACUAGACUCUAUGAAGCAGGAAUCGGUAGUAAUUAGGGGAUCAGCCAUGGCGCGGUGAAUACGUUCCCGGGCCUUGUACACACCGCCCGUCAAGCCAUGGAAGUCUCGGUAAGGAGGUCGGUGACCGAAAGGACUGCUAGGGUCU
rnacentral:rRNA from 1 species